rnacentral:tRNA from 1 species
GGUGAAUAUAAUUCAAAGGUUAGAAUAUAAAUUUGUGGCAUUUAGUGUUUCUGGUUCGAUUCCAGAUAUUCACC